rnacentral:snRNA from 1 species
GUGCUCGCUUCAGCAGCACAUAUACUAAAAUUGGAAUGAUACAGACAAGAUUAGCAUGGCCCAUGUGCAAAGAUGACAUGCAAAAUCGUGAAGCAUUCCAUAUUAAA